rnacentral:rRNA from 1 species
UACGUAGGGUGCGAGCGUUGUCCGGAAUUAUUGGGCGUAAAGGGCUCGUAGGCGGUCUGUUGCGUCAGGAGUGAAAACUCGGGGCUUAACCCCGAGCCUGCUUCUGAUACGGGCAGACUAGAGGUAUGCAGGGGAGAACGGAAUUCCUGGUGUAGCGGUGAAAUGCGCAGAUAUCAGGAGGAACACCGGUGGCGAAGGCGGGUAGCUGGGCCGACACUGACGCUGAGGCGCGAAAGCCAGGGGAGCGAACGGG